rnacentral:hammerhead_ribozyme from 1 species
AAUUGGUCGAGAACUGAUGCUGUUCUCCUGAUGAGGCUAUGGUAGGCCAAAAUCAAUU